GACGAACGCUGGCGGCGUGCUUAACACAUGCAAGUCGAACGGAAAGGCCCUGCUUUUGUGGGGUGCUCGAGUGGCGAACGGGUGAGUAACACGUGAGUAACCUGCCCUUGACUUUGGGAUAACUUCAGGAAACUGGGGCUAAUACCGGAUAGGAGCUCCUGCUGCACGGUGGGGGUUGGAAAGUUUCGGCGGUUGGGGAUGGACUCGCGGCUUAUCAGCUUGUCGGUGGGGUAGUGGCUUACCACGGCUUUGACGGGUAGCCGGCCUGAGAGGGUGACCGGCCACAUUGGGGCUGAGGUACGGCCCAGACUCCUACGGGAGGCAGCGGUGGGGAAUAUUGCACAAUGGGCGGAAGCCUGAUGCAGCAACGCCGCGUGCGGGAUGACGGCCUUCGGGUUGUAAACCGCUUUCGCCUGUGACGAAGCGUGAGUGACGGUAAUGGGUAAAGAAGCACCGGCUAACUACGUG
rnacentral:rRNA from 1 species